GGCAGUGUAGCUUAGUGGUUAAAAAGCAAGCCUUGUAACCAAAAGGUUGCCGGUUCGAUUCCUGGCUGGGGCA